ACACAACUCACCAAACCAAGAAAGAAGAAGCGCUGAGGAGAGAGGGUUGUAGAGAGGGGAAGAAUGGGGACGGCCCAGAGGUCUGACCUAUUUAUACCCCAGCCAGGCCCUGCCCAUAGCAGGGGACAGGGGAGAGCGGAUACUGCCUUCCUGCUGUGGGCUGAUGCGCGCCCUGCGUAUUCCUGGAAGGUGCACACGAUGGCAGCUACCGCCUGCUCCAGAGGCCUGGCCAUCCUCACUGUCACAGAACAAGGGUGUGGCUCACAGCAGAGUUCCAGGCCAGCCCCCCAGCUCACCUCUGCCCUCUGUGUUUCUCAGAGACUGUUCCCAGACCCAUCUUAACCUCCAUCAGGCUUCAGGCCCCGCAGUCUCCCCCUCCUCUGAGUAGCCCUCCCAGACCACACCAGCCCCUCCUAAUUUAUCCCCCUGCUGUCCUGUUGUUAUUUCCCCAUGUAGAGGUCUCAUUGCCCCAACAUCGCUGUAAACUCCUCAGAGAGACAGCAUCCUACCCCACCACCCACACACCCCACCGUGGGGCUCCUUAAGCACUCUCAGAUUAUCUGCCACCUCUUCUUAUCCCCAACACCCAGGGAUGGCUCGGUCCCAGUCUGCCCCAGCCCAUGAGAUGCCCUAGAAGCCUCCCUCCCUGCAGGAACUUGCACAAGGAGAGCCUGGCCCUGUGCUUCUCUGCCCUCAGCCCUUGGAGAAGCUAGGCCUUAGCAGGGAGGGGCAGGUCUGAGAGGCGCCCCCACAGCCUCACCACCACUGCCCUCACCCUGCCUCCUGCCCUGAACUCGAGGAAGCUGCACCCAGAAGAAAAACUUGUGGGAUCCUCUCUGCCUGUCGCCAGCUGUGCAACCUUGGAAGAGAACCCAAAACCUAGAAGAGCGUGAGAGGGAAAAGAGGAAGGAGAUUGACUCCCAGGCCGGCAAAGAAGCCUUCCUGCCCGUGCAGGCAGCCAGAGCGCCAGUGACACCUUCGACCUCGCCCUCGGCCCCCAGCACCCAAGCCUUGCCUGUGCCGUCCUCUCCUUGGAGACUCAGCCCUGUUGAGGAGGGGAGUGAGCAAUAGAGGAGGGAAGGAAAAGAGGAGCUGUGAUUAGCCCUGUUUUAUAAUGGGCUACAUAGCCCUGUUUUAUAUGGGCUUUUUAAUGGAAGUAUGGGGAGCAGGGGGCAGAGAACAAGAGACAGUCACGCAGCAGAAGGGGGGGCCAGAGUGCACCAGCAAUUAAUUCAGCUCUAGGUCGAGCUUAAUUAUUCCCACCUAUGAUAUCCCAGCUCUGCCCCCAGCCACCUCCCUUAAGCAGCCUACCUCUGCUCUCGGGGCUUCAUUUUACUCACCUGUCAGUGAUGGAGGGUGAUAAUAGUAACUACCUCAUAGGUUUGUGCGG
rnacentral:lncRNA from 10 species